rnacentral:rRNA from 1 species
CCUACGGGGGGCAGCAGUGGGGAAUAUUGCACAAUGGGGGAAACCCUGAUGCAGCGACGCCGCGUGAGUGAAGAAGUAUUUCGGUAUGUAAAGCUCUAUUAGCAGGGAAGAAAAUGACGGUACCUGAUUCAUAAGCCCCGGCUAACUACGUGCCAGCAGCCGCUGUAAUACGUAGGGGGCAAGCGUUAUCCGGAUUUAAUGGGUGUAAAGGGAGCGUAGACGGCAGCGCAAGGCCGAAGUGAAAUGCCGGGGGUUAACCCCGGAACUGCUUUGGAAACUGUGCAGCUAGAGUGCAGGAGAGGUAAGUGGAAUUCCUAGUGUAGCGGUGAAAUGCGUAGAUAUAAGGAGGAACACCAAUGGCGAAGGCAGCUUACUGGACUGUAACUGACGUUGAGGCACGAAAGCGUGGGGAGCAAACAGGAUUAGAUACCCGAGUAGUC